AGCGCCGUGGAGGAGUAGUACCUCGUCAGUCUCAUAAGCUGAAGGCCCCCGUGCAAUUCGGGGCGGCGCAA
rnacentral:tRNA from 1 species